rnacentral:rRNA from 1 species
AUGAAUUGUUUGAGUUGGAACUAUCAGGGAGUUGGGAACAAACCGAUAGUUCGGGAUUUGGUGGCUUUGGUUAGAGCUACUGAAUCAAAGAUUGUGUUCCUUUGUGAAACUAGGCAAAGUUUAGAAAAAAUGCACCGUCUGCGUGGAAGAUUGGGUCUUAGAGGUUUUGCUGGUGUCGACAGUGUUGGUCUUAGUGGGGGUGUUGCUCUAUUUUGGUGUAAUCAGAUGCUUCAGGUGGAUGUCAAGGAUUCAAAUGAAAGAUACAUUGAUGCAUAUGUGCGUGUGGCUCCUAGUGCUCCAAUGUGGCGUUUGACUUGUGUUUAUGGAGAACCAUGUACGGAAAAUCGUCAUCGUAUGUGGUCAACUAUGCAAAGUCUGAAAGUGCAGUCUGACCUCCCCUGGUGUGUUAUAGGGGAUUUUAAUGAAGCCAUAUGGUCCUUUGAACACAUGUCAGCUACUCCAAGGAAUGAAAAUCAAAUGCAGGCAUUCAGGGACGUGUUGGAAACCUGUAAUCUCGUGGACUUGGGGUUUCAAGGUCCCCCAUUUACGUAUGAUAACAAACAGCGCCGAAACAGAAACGUAAAAGUUUGGUUGGAUUGA